rnacentral:rRNA from 1 species
UAUAUCUGCAGAGUNUGAUCAUGGCUCAGAUUGAACGCNGGCNGCAGGCCUAACACAUGCAAGUCGAGCNGUAACACAGGGAGCUUGCUCCUGGGNGACGAGCGGCGGACGGGUGAGUAAUGUCUGGGAAACUGCCUGAUGGAGGGGGAUAACUACUGGAAACGGUAGCUAAUACCGCAUAANGUCGCAAGACCAAAGAGGGGGACCUUCGGGCCUCUUGCCAUCAGAUGUGCCCAGAUGGGAUUAGCUAGUAGGUGGGGUAACGGCUCACCUAGGCGACGAGCNCUAGCUGGUCUGAGAGGAUGCCANCACACUGAACUG